rnacentral:sRNA from 1 species
UCGAACGAGACGGUGCGGUAUCCACGAAC